CAAGAACACAUACUUGACAAGGCUUUCCUAGGAGUCCUUGGCAUUUCCAGGGGUAGUUUUGUGACCCUGGUGGUAGUGUGACCCUUCAUCUGUAUCAUGAACCUGAAGAAACACAGAUUUGAAAAGGCUUUCCUAGGAGUUGUGGGCAUUUCCAGGGGUAGUUUUGUGACCCUGGUGGUAGUGUGACCCUUCUUCUGUACCAUGAACCUGAAGAAACACAGAUUUGAAAAGGCUUUCCUAGGAGUUGUGGGCAUUUCCAGGGGUAGUUUUAUAACCCUGGUGGUAGUUUGACCCUUCUUCUGUACCAUGAAUCUAAAGAAACACUCAUUGGAACCCAACUGGCCCACUCUUUGACCUUUAGAAAUAGCUGAUGUGAUUAGCCGAAGUGUCUUAUAAUGCCAACCAGUUUCCUUCCUUUCUCUUUUUCUACUGUCCUUUCCUUUGGUUUUCUUUCUUUCCCUAAUAUUUUUUAUUUUUCAGGUCCCUGCUUUCCCCUGACGGUGGUGGUCUCCUUGCUCCCGGGUGGUUGUCUUCACAUUUUUCUGCCUCCGCCUUCACAGUGCUUCCCAAAGGCUCCCCAAACACCACGACAGGCCAGCUGAGAAACAGAGCCUGGAGACACCCUCUUCCUCGGGGACCUUUCCUCAUGGCACCCUAACCUCCCUCCAAGAGACUCCCUCCCCACCCAACAACCCAUCCCUCCCUCCUCCCCUCAGUGCCAGGCACAUUCUCCCCUCCCAAAGUCUCCCGUCCCAUCCCAACAACCCAUCCAUAUUCUUCACUUGGUGGGCAAUGCUUGGCUGCUUGCCUUCUGAGACCUUCCUCAUGUACUUGGCAAUAUAGCCGUAGUGUUAA